GAUUAUACUUGAAGACACUACUUACUGAGUCAUUGUACUGGACUUCUUAUUUGCAUUUGUGCUGUAUUUGGGGCAUUUCUAAUGGAAGGAUCUGAAAAAUAAUAUGGCCAUCCAAGAAAUGUGUGCUCCAGCUUUAUUUCGUUUCUCCUGUUACUUAGCAGUAAUUAGUAGGUAUGUCUAUUUGUGAGUGAACUGUGCCGAGCAGUUACACUGGCAAGCCUGAUUGCUGAUACAGCUUCCAGAAUCAAAUGGGUGAUGUCAUAGUCACUGACACCAGAGUUUGUUGAAAUGUUAUUUUUAUUUUAAAUUGCUUUACAAUCGCAGCUAAUGACAGCCAAGAAAGCGCGACAAGGUCUGAAGAGAAGAGGUGUCUCCUCUCCAAGCUCAUUUCAGGCAUGCCUUUAUCUGCACCUGAUCGGGUGUAGGCAAUCAGCAAUUAAGCCCAGGCAAAAAUUGAAUAGCCUUGCACUGCCACUGCAGGCAGAGUAGAGAUUGUGGAGGGAUAAACUCUACCAAUUUGAAACGAAAUCUUUCUAACAUUCUUCAUAGUGAGUCUUGGAGUUGGGACCAAAUCCUAAAUAAACCAGUGGAGCAGCUUUUACCUGUGAGCCAUUUACAGCAAGCAGAUGCAGAAUGCCCUACAGUUUGUUGUGAGAACACUACGCACCAACUGCUGGCUAUGAAUGCAUUCUCCAAGCUGACUCUGAAAUGGCAUAAUAAGAGCAACAGUUCUUUGCAGUCCAAGGCGGUCCAGGCACUGGGUGUUAGAUGGCUGAUCGAGGAGGAGGAGGAGGAGGAGGAGAAGGAGAAGGAGUUUGGCUGUUGGCUGCAGGGUGUGAGGCCCCGCUGCUCUCCAAUGGAGAAGCUCUGACUGCAGAGCUGCACCCAGUCAUGGAGCUGCCUCAUGAUGGGACAUGAAUAUGUAUGCAGGUUAACUGAUGUGCUUCUCUCUAAUUGCAAUGGGAGGAAAGGAGCCUGAAGUGCAAUGCUUCAUGGGAGCUGCUUCUCAUCUUGGCAUAUAGUAUACUAUUCCACAUAACUUAAAGGAGGGACACAUUAGAGAGUCUUUCCUGUUUGCCUAGUUGUUUAUUGCUGAUUUUAAACGAGUUUUCUGUACUUUCUUCUUUCUGAUGCCGCCAACCAAUUUAGGCAGCAUUGGUUUAAUUUAUAUUUGUUGUAGCUUUUGUUGUCCUUCAAUUUAUGCCUCCUUGCCUCUGCCAAUUAGGUUUUAACUGAAUGUGAUUAUGAAGAAUAAAUGCUAACGUUCAGCUCCACUAGAGGGUGGCCCAUCAGUUUACCUAAGGCAAGGCUUUCAAACUUGGGGGAGAGAAACAGAAUGAAGCUAAUUUUAAGGGAUAUGCUUUUAAUUUUGAACGUUUGCAUAAGCACGCUGGAGCAUUUCAGAUUAAAAUCCCCCAAAGUGUGGGAACCAUGAAAUCGCUUUAAUUAGGCCAACUGACAAUUCACCGGCAUCUCCAAGCACACUGGACCCGAAAAGGGACGAAAACAAAGCAAUCACCUUUUACAGGGAUUUGUAGUUUUUAAAAAAGUGACAGAAAUGGGAAACAACACUGAAAUUUGCAUGCAUUUUUACAUUUUUGAGGGAACACCUUAAAAUUAAAAGACCUGGAAACAGUGGA